ensembl:lncRNA
AUGAUCGUUGACCUGAAAAGUUUCUCGUUCGAUCAUGUGACACUGAACAUCUGCUGCUCGCUCGACCUGAUCCACAGUACAGCAUCCAUCUGUAGAGGAGACACAACACAUCAGUGCAUUACACACACACACACACACACACACACACACACACACACACACACACAUCACUGCAUCAGUGCAUUACACACACACACACACACACAUCACUGCAUCAGUGCAUUACACACACACACACAUCACUGCAUCAGUGCAUUACACACACACACACACACACACACACACACACACACAUCACUGCAUCAGUGCAUUACACACACACACACACACACACACACACACACACACAUCACUGCAUCAGUGCAUUACACACAUACACACACACACAUCACUGCAUCAGUGCAUUACACACACACACACACACACACACACACACACACACACACACACACAUCACUGCAUCAGUGCAUUACACACACACACACACACACACACACACACACACACACACACACACACAUCACUGCAUCAGUGCAUUACACACACACACACACACACACACACACACACACACACACAUCACUGCAUCAGUGCAUUACACACACACACACACACACACACACACACACACAUCACUGCAUCAGUGCAUUACACACAUACACACACACACAUCACUGCAUCAGUGCAUUACACACACACACACACACACACACACACACACACACACACACACACAUCACUGCAUCAGUGCAUUACACACACACACACACACACACACACACACACACACACACACACACACAUCACUGCAUCAGUGCAUUACACACACACACACACACACACACACACACACACACACACAUCACUGCAUCAGUGCAUUACACACACACAUCACUGCAUCAGUGCAUUACACACACACACACACACACACACACACACACACACACACACACACAUCACUGCAUCAGUGCAUUACACACACACAUCACUGCAUCAGUGCAUUACACACACACACACACACACACACACACACACACACACACACACACACACACACACACACACACACACACACACAUCACUGCAUCAGUGCAUUACACACACACACACACACACACACACACACACAUCACUGCAUCAGUGCAGUACACACACACACACACACACACACAUCACUGCAUCAGUGCAUUACACACAUACACACACACACAUCACUGCAUCAGUGCAUUACACACACACACACACACACACACACACACACACACACACAUCACUGCAUCAGUGCAUUACACACACACACACACACACACACACACACACACACACACACAUAACUGCAUCAGUGCAUUACACACACACACACACACACACACACACACACACACACACACACACACACACACACACACACACACACACACACACACACACAUCACUGCAUCAGUGCAUUACAUACACACACACACACACACACACACACACAUCACUGCAUCAGUGCAGUACACACACACACACACACACACACACACAUCACUGCAUCAGUGCAUUACACACAUACACACACACACAUCACUGCAUCAGUGCAUUACACACACACACACACACACACACACACACACACACACACACAUCACUGCAUCAGUGCAUUACACACACACACACACACACACACACACACACACACACACACAUCACUGCAUCAGUGCAUUACACACACACACACACACACACACACACACACACACACACACACACACACACAUCACUGCAUCAGUGCAUUACACACACACACACACACACACACACACACACACACACACACACACACACACAUCAGUGCAUCAGUGCAGUACACACACACACACACACACACACACACACACACACACACACACAUCAGUGCAUCAGUGCAGUACACACACACACACAUCAGUGCAUUACAGACACUCACACACACAUCACUGCAUUAACUACAGCAUGUCUUCUCAUAAAUAA